GUGCGCACUCCUACGGGAGGCAGCAGUGGGGAAUAUUGCACAAUGGGCGCAAGCCUGAUGCAGCCAUGCCGCGUGUAUGAAGAAGGCCUUCGGGUUGUAAAGUACUUUCAGCAGUGAGGAAGUGGGUAUGUUAAUAGCAUACUCAUUUGACGUUAGCUGCAGAAGAAGCACCGGCUAACUCCGUGCCAGCAGCCGCGGUAAUACGGAGGGUGCGAGCGUUAAUCGGAAUUACUGGGCGUAAAGCGCAUGCAGGUGGUUUGUUAAGUCAGAUGUGAAAGCCCGGGGCUCAACCUCGGAAUUGCAUUUGAAACUGGCAAACUAGAGUACUGUAGAGGGGGUAGAAUUUCAGGUGUAGCGGUGAAAUGCGUAGAGAUCUGAAGGAAUACCGGUGGCGAAGGCGGCCCCCUGGACAGAUACUGACACUCAGAUGCGAAAGCGUGGGGAGCAAACAGGAUUAGAUACCCUGGUAG
rnacentral:rRNA from 1 species